rnacentral:rRNA from 1 species
GACGAACGCUGGCGGCGUGCUUAACACAUGCAUUUCGAACGGUAAGGCUCCAGCUUGCUGGGGUACACGAGUGGCGAACGGGUGAGUAACACGUGGGUGACCUGCCCUGCACUUCGGGAUAAGCCUGGGAAACUGGGUCUAAUACCGGAUAGGACCGCACCGUGAGGGUGUGGUGGAAAGUUUUUUCGGUGUGGGAUGGGCCCGCGGCCUAUCAGCUUGUUGGUGGGGUAAUGGCCUACCAAGGCGGCGACGGGUAGCCGGCCUGAGAGGGUGGACGGCCACAUUGGGACUGAGACACGGCCCAGACUCCUACGGGAGGCAGCAGUGGGGAAUAUUGCACAAUGGGCGGAAGCCUGAUGCAGCGACGCCGCGUGGGGGAUGACGGCCUUCGGGUUGUAAACUCCUUUCACCAUCGACGAAGGGUUUCUGACGGUAGAUGGAGAAGAAGCACCGGCUAACUACGUGCCAGCAGCCGCGGUAAUACGUAGGGUGCGAGCGUUGUCCGGAAUUACUGGGCGUAAAGAGCUCGUAGGUGGUUUGUCGCGUCGUCUGUGAAAUUCCGGGGCUUAACUCCGGGCGUGCAGGCGAUACGGGCAUAACUUGAGUACUGUAGGGGAGACUGGAAUUCCUGGUGUAGCGGUGAAAUGCGCAGAUAUCAGGAGGAACACCGGUGGCGAAGGCGGGUCUCUGGGCAGUAACUGACGCUGAGGAGCGAAAGCAUGGGGAGCGAACAGGAUUAGAUACCCUGGUAGUCCAUGCCGUAAACGGUGGGCGCUAGGUGUGGGUUUCCUUCCACGGGAUCCGUGCCGUAGCUAACGCAUUAAGCGCCCCGCCUGGGGAGUACGGCCGCAAGGCUAAAACUCAAAGGAAUUGACGGGGGCCCGCACAAGCGGCGGAGCAUGUGGAUUAAUUCGAUGCAACGCGAAGAACCUUACCUGGGCUUGACAUAUACAGGAUCGCGCCAGAGAUGGUGUUUCCCUUGUGGCUUGUAUACAGGUGGUGCAUGGUUGUCGUCAGCUCGUGUCGUGAGAUGUUGGGUUAAGUCCCGCAACGAGCGCAACCCUUGUCUUAUGUUGCCAGCACGUUGUGGUGGGGACUCGUAAGAAACUGCCGGGGUUAACUCGGAGGGAGGUGGGGAUGACGUCAAAUCAUCAUGCCCCUUAUGUCCAGGGCUUCACACAUGCUACAAUGGUCGGUACAGUGGGUUGCCAGUCCGUGAGGGCGAGCUAAUCCCGCAAAGCCGGUCUCAGUUCGGAUCGGGGUCUGCAACUCGACCCCGUGAAGUCGGAGUCGCUAGUAAUCGCAGAUCAGCAACGCUGCGGUGAAUACGUUCCCGGGCCU